UGGGGAAUAUUGCACAAUGGAGGGAACUCUGAUGCAGCGACGCCGCGUGAACGAAGAAGUCUUUCGAGUCGUAAAGUUCUUUUAUAUGGGAAGAUAAUGACGGUACCAUAAGAAAAAGCCCCGGCUAACUACGUGCCAGCAGCCGCGGUAAUACGUAGGGGGCUAGCGUUGUCCGGAAUCACUGGGCGUAAAGGGUUCGCAGGCGGAAAUGCAAGUCAGGUGUAAAAGGCAGUAGCUUAACUACUGUAAGCAUUUGAAACUGCAUAUCUUGAGAAGAGUAGAGGUAAGUGGAAUUUUUAGUGUAGCGGUGAAAUGCGUAGAUAUUAAAAAGAAUACCGGUGGCGAAGGCGACUUACUGGGCUCAUUCUGACGCUGAGGAACGAAAGCGUGGGUAGCAAACAGG
rnacentral:rRNA from 1 species